CCUACGGGUGGCAGCAGUGAGGAAUAUUGGUCAAUGGGCGGAAGCCUGAACCAGCCAAGUCGCGUGAGGGAUUAAGGCCCUGCGGGUCGUAAACCUCUUUUGCCGGGGAGCAGAGGUCCGGACGUGUCCGGGCCGGGAGAGUACCCGUAGAAAAAGCAUCGGCUAACUCCGUGCCAGCAGCCGCGGUAAUACGGAGGAUGCGAGCGUUAUCCGGAUUUAUUGGGUUUAAAGGGUGCGUAGGCGGGCAUUUAAGCCGGCGGUCAAAUGUCGGGGCUCAACCCCGGCCGGCCGUUGAAACUGGGUGCCUUGAGUGGGCGAGAAGUAGGCGGAAUGCGUGGUGUAGCGGUGAAAUGCAUAGAUAUCACGCAGAACCCCGAUUGCGAAGGCAGCAUACCGGCGCCCUACUGACGCUGAGGCACGAAAGUGCGGGGAUCGAACAGGAUUAGAUACCCGGGUAGUC
rnacentral:rRNA from 1 species